rnacentral:rRNA from 1 species
AACGUAGGUGGCGAGCGUUAUCCGGAUUUACUGGGCGUAAAGCGUGUGCAGGCGGGGAUACAAGUGGUGUAUGAAAUUUCCCGGCUUAACCGGGAAGGGUUAUGCCAGACUGUAUUUCUGGAGUGCGAGAGAGGGGCGUGGAAUUCCUGGUGUAGCAGUGAAAUGCGUAGAUAUCAGGAGGAACACCGAUGGCGAAGGCAGGUCUCUGGGCUGACACUGACGCUCAUGCACGAAAGCGUGGGGAGCGAAACAAGGAUUG